UGAACGCUGGCGGCGUGCUUAACACAUGCAAGUCGAACGAACCUUCGGGUUAGUGGCGGACGGGUGAGUAACGCGUGAGAAUCUGCCCUCAGGAGGGGGAUAACGGUUGGAAACGACCGCUAAUACCCCAUAUGCCGAGAGGUGAAAUGAAUUUCGCCUGAGGAUGAGCUCGCGUCUGAUUAGUUAGUUGGUGGGGUAAUGGCCUACCAAGACAUCGAUCAGUAGCUGGUCUGAGAGGAUGAUCAGCCACACUGGGACUGAGACACGGCCCAGACUCCUACGGGAGGCAGCAGUGGGGAAUUUUCCGCAAUGGGCGAAAGCCUGACGGAGCAACGCCGCGUGAGGGAUGAAGGCCUCUGGGCUGUAAACCUCUUUUAUCAAGGAAGAAGAUCUGACGGUACUUG
rnacentral:rRNA from 1 species